AAAAACAAAAGACGAUCAAAAUACAUUUUUGGACAGAUUCGU
rnacentral:sRNA from 1 species